UUAACUGAAACCAAAAUAGAGGUAUAUCACUGUUAAUGAUAAAAAUGAGAUAUUCUCCAGUUAAA
rnacentral:tRNA from 1 species